CACGUAGUUAGCCGUGACUUUCUGGUUAGGUACCGUCAAAGUCGAGACAGUUACUCCUCGACUUGUUCUUCUCUAAUAACAGAACUUUACGAUCCGAAGACCUUCUUCAUUCACGCGGCAUUGCUCCAUCAGGUUUGCACCCAUUGUGGAAGAUUCCCUACUGCUGCCUCCCGUAGGAGUCUGGGCCGUGUCUCAGUCCCAGUGUGGCCGAUCACCCUCUCAGGUCGGCUACGUAUCAUGGUCUUGGUAGGCCAUUACCCCACCAACUAACUAAUACGCCGCGGGAUCAUCUAAAAGCGACAGCAAAGCCGUCUUUCUUUCCAGAACCAUGCGGUUCAAGAAUCUAUGCGGUAUUAGCAUCCGUUUCCGAAUGUUAUCCCCCACUCUUAGGCAGAUUUCCCACGUGUUACUCACCCGUUCGCCACUCAUCCGCACUCUGCAAGCAGAGUGCUUCAGCGUUUCGACUUGCAUGUAUUAGGCAUGCCGCAGCGUUCUCCG
rnacentral:rRNA from 1 species